CACUCCGUCCCUGGGCCAACCGGGUGGUGGUGUCAGCGCCGGUGUCUUCCUCUCCGUCCCUGGGCUUGGGUUUCCAUGGCGGUGGCGAGGGUAACGCCGACCUCAGCCCUAUUACUCGGAGGUCCAACCAGAUAGCCUUUUGUACUUCUACAGUGCUGCGAGAGCAAGGAGAGUAGGAGCCCAAAGCCCCAAACGCUCUUUGUUUCGCUCUGCGUGCAUGCACGCGUGUUCGAUGCAUUAGGACGGACUUUGAAGAGGCUAGAGCAACAGUUACCGUGUAGGUGAGCUGAAUGAAAUUGGCCAGGAGAGGAAACAAUCGGUCUAUAAAAAAGUUUAUAGCUAAUUUAGAUAAGAUCAUACUUUCUUAUGAUUGAAUAAUUCUCUGUCUGUGUUCUAACUGCGUCCUUUCUCAGUGUUAUACUGUCCCAAUUUACAGAACAACAGAUGAACCGUAAUGAGUCAUUCCGAAGAUAGUUGAAGUCCAGUGUUAUUACCGCAAUUAAUAUCUACCUCUCCACAUUAUGCCCCUUAUCUUACUCCAUCAGUACGAAUGGCUGAUAUUAAUGUGUCUCAUUUUCAGUUAAUCUAGCUGUUGUAUCUAACUUAGAUAUCAGGCUGCUGAAAUUGCUUAAAGACCAUUAAUAUCUCUGAUAUGUAAGUGCCUGUGAAUUGCCCUAUAUGCUUAAUUACUUCAGUAUGAUAAAUGACUCAUUUUUGUGACAAUGCUUUUCGAUGAUGUAUGGAAGCAUGGACUGUUAUUUCCUUUCCAUUCUGAAGAUGCAAGGUCAAUUCCCUCACUCCAUCAAGCAAAUGUGUUUACUUAUGAGAUUGAGAUGCGAGCUUAAGUUGCUCACAGUAUUCAAAUAAAAUCACCUACUUAUUUUGCUCCUGAAGUAAACCAUGGGCGAUUCUCUUCAUUAGUUCAAACAAACACAUCUACUCAUGUACCCUUUUCUGGUGGAGCUAGAGAACAACAAGUUCACUUUACUCCUCAACCAAACCAAGUAAGAAACCACUUCAUUUUCUCACUUCUGAGAGUUCUUUGCCAAAGAAAGUACGUGAAUCUAUGAAUUAAUCAUGAUAUUUGAUAUUUGAUAGUUGAAUCUGUUUGUAUUGAUCUUGAGCAUUAUGAUAUUCUGAACUGAGAUAGUUCAUUACUUGUCCUAGCACUUUCCAUCGCUGCAUUAUAUUUUAUCCGCCAGCUUAUAUCUUUCACUGCCCUUUCUCUUGGGUAAGUAUGUUUACCUCUUGUAAGUUGUAACUGGUUAGUUGAGUUUUACAACGUUAUGUCUGUUCUAAUGGCAAUUUCUCUAUCUGGACAACCACUGCCUGGACAAGCAGUAAUGGUUAAGCCAUCUGAGGCUGAAAAGAACUUAGCUCAGGCAAAUGUGACAUCAGGUGGUGCCGCUUCAGGUGGAGCAAGAAAGUUGUAUGUUGGCAAUCUUCACUCAAAUAUUACCGAAGACCAAUUGAGAUAGAUGUGGGUCCGACCCAUGCUCCAAUGUCGUUGCCUCCUAUGAGCUCUUGGUCCCAUGAGCUGCAUGUGGGCCAUCCUCGUCGUAUCAGCACUAUGCCCCUGCUGGCCGGCUGCGUAGCGAACACACAGAGGAACGCUAAAUGUAGCACGUGUAGACAGCGUCCGGUAUUUUACCGAAGGCUUUACCGUCUGUUGCUGGACCAGCAAUAGAGCUCGGCGUCCUGUAAAUUUGGCGGACAGGACCACAUACAGGUCCUUGUUGGACACAGUCUUAGUCCUGUGAGUUCCAGGUUUUCGCUUGUGGUACCUAUGAACAUGAAACCUGUUUACUUUGAGGAAUGUACUUUAUUUCCAUCUUAAGUUAGUCUAUUCAAACGGAAUAUGGAUAUAUUAACCGAAAUUUUCUGCAGU
rnacentral:lncRNA from 1 species